GCGAUGACUUUUCAUACACACAUGAGGGUGUACCGGAUCGGUUCAAGACAAUCGAGUAUUAUGGGUUCACCUCAAGUUAUCAGAUACAGCUCUAUCCCUAUUCUUUCAUAUUCAAUUCACUUGUAGUUAUUCUUCUCCAACACAAGCUGCAAUCACUACGGAUCUCAGUUUAACUGUAGCUGAGGACCUGAGUACUCUGUGUUUGGUUCUCUAUCCAACGUGGCUGCUAUGGUUGGUGCAAUUUCCACUGGUCAGAUCGCAUAAUAUAUUGAACGAAAAGGGUCCCUCAUGAAUGCUGGUCGGCUUUGCAUAUUAUUUGCAAAAGCAAUAGGUUUAAAGAAGCAUAUGAAAAGGCUCAAUGCUCCAAAACAUUGGAUGCUUGACAAACUUGGUGGUGCAUUUAUAUUUCUUCUAUGAGAAUUCAUGUCUUCUCUAUGAUAGCGAGGGACGUUUCCGUCUUCACUCCAUCAGGGACGAAGAACCUAAGGCUUUGUUUUCUCUUGCUCUUGAUAUAAUUUAGAGUAA